GAGGGUGUAUCUCAGUGGUAGAGUACAUGCUUUACACGCAUGAGGUCCUGGGUUUAAUCCCCAGUACCUCCG